UUGACAAAUACAAUCUCGAAGAAAAACUUUUUUGGAAUAUAUUUUGGAAUAGACAUUAGUCUAAUGUGUCAACCAUGUUUUUGUUUACACAAGUAUGAGCUACUUGCAGAGGUAAAAAAAGUCAAGUCCUGAUUUAGUCCUGGCCAUGUUGUAGCCUUUAAAAGAUAAACUUUGGUCAGACACAAUGAAAAUUGUCUGAAACACGUUUCCUGUCACUUUACAGGGCACUGACACAGGCACAGAUUCUGAAGCUUGGCAGCAUAUCACAGUCUCACCAGGGGUCCAUUUAUAGCUGUUCUGAGCUAUCAGUCAUAUCACAUGAUCUUCAUCAACAGAUAAGGACUAUUACAAUAUAUUUGGAUGAAUAAGGAAAAGAGGAAAGGUAUAUUAUGUACAGGACUGGUACUUACAUACAUUUAUAAUCUCCUAAAUCCAUUUUCGGUGUUCUGCAGGGUUCUACAGAUGGUGACUCUUCCAAUGACCCUGCUGCCAACGCCAGUCUUGUGAAUGAGAAUGUGUAGGACGCAGCGUGAAGUUCCUGCAACAACAGCAUCAUUUCCAUCAGAGUACACGAAGCCUCACUGUGCUGAAAGCAAAUUGGCCGCUCAGGCAGAAAAGGCUGCUCUCAUGGAACGGGUUGCCGCCCUGCAGAAAAAGCAUGACCUUGAGGCACAGGAAGAACGACUGAAAAGGAAGAAAGAACAACUGGAACUAGAGACUGAACUGGCAGCAACCAAUGCAAAAAUCAAUGUACUUGAAUCAAUGGGAUCAAGAAACAGCUCAAGAGUAUCUGAUGGGAUGAACUCAUAUUUGAGAAAAGGAACUGCUCAAAAGAACGUCAAUCAAAUUAAAUCCGCAUGUGAACACCUAUUUACCUGAUCAAGUGCAACAAAGACAGAAUGUGCGGAUGGGAACUGCAUCUUCUUCACAGCAACAGGUUGCUCGACCAAAGGAAAGAGCUGCUGGACCGUCUGUUAGAGCUCAGGAUAUGACUCCUCUAACACAACAACCUGUAUUUAAUGAUGGUAAUCAAGGUGAUAUCUAUCACAUUAUUCAGAGGCAAAAUGACAUCACAGCCCUUCCUGCUCAACAAAAUCUCUCUCCUACUUUACUACAAAGAGACAUUCCUGUUUAUGAUGGUGAUCCAAUAUGGAGUUUUCAUCAGGGCAUUUGACAGAGGAGUGGAAAGAAAAGACAGACGACUACAGUGACUGCCUGCAUUUCCUAGUGUGAUACACCAAAAGAUUUAGUCCACAGCUGCCAACAUUUGCCUCCAGCUGAGGGCUAUAAAAGAGCAAAGGAUCUACUUAAAGAACAUUUUGGUAAUGAACAUAAGAUCGCCACAGCAUACAUGGACAAAGCAUUUGCCUGGCCAGCGAUCAAGCCAGAGGAUGUGAAAGCAUUGCAAGCGUUUUCAUUAUUCCUUAGAGGCUGUUGCAAUGCAAUGGAACAGAUCACCUAUAUGGAGGAGAUGAAUAUUGCUUGCAGCAUGAAGACCAUUCUUCUGAAACUGCCUUACAAGCUCAGAGACAAGUGGAGGAAUAGGGCAUGUCAGCUUCAGGAACAACAUGGAUGCCGAGCUAGUUUCUUUGAUCUAGUAGACGUCCUGGAGAGACAAGUGAAGAUAUUGUCGGAUCCACUUUUUGGAAACAUCCAGGAUGUUAAGACAACUACAUCUGUUAAAGGCUCCACCUUUGCUAAAGCAAGAGAAAAGUUGAGACCAAGGGGAAGCAGUUUUGCAACAACUGUAACACCUGUAGAAACACCAAAAACAAGAAACAAUUACGACAAAUGGGACGACAAAUGGGAUGAAAAAUGUAUCUGCUGCUAAUUCUCAAAAUUCCUGUCUGUUCUGUGAUAGAGGUGGUCACACAUUGGUGCGUUGUCCACAAAUCAGGAAAAAAAUAGACUUCUUAAGUCCGUUUUGGAUGUUUGAAGGUAGGACACAUGAGCAAAGACUGCAAUAGUCGUUUGACUUGUGACGUGUGCAAUAAAAAUCAUCCUGAAAUUCUUCACAUUGAACAAAAGGACAUGGGGAAAGAAAACAGAACUGAAUGAGAAAUCAAUUGGGAUCAUACAUGUGGGCAUAUUGGGGCCGGUGAAGAAGUCUUUUCUCUAUUGUUCCAGUACAAGUAAAGACCCCCAAAGGAGACGCAGUGUUACAAACAUAUGCAUUUUUGAACUAUGUCAAGAUUCAUGAAAUAGACGCUGGCAUUGAGCUGCUCAUUGGCACAAAUUCUGCGAAGGUAUUGGAACCUUGGGAAGUGGUCAAUAGCCAAAGGGAUGGACCAUAUGCUGUGAGGACCCUACUGCUGUCAAUCGAAUGUCUGUUGUGAAUCUAGAGGAGCUACUGGUUAAACAAUACAAUCAUGAUUUCAAUGAAGGAACCAGCAAGGAAACAGAGGAAAUGUCCAGAGAAGAGAGAAAAUUCUUGGAUAUUGUGAAUCACUCAACAAAAAUGACAGAUGGUCACUACUGCCUAGACUUCCCUUUCAAGCAAGAAAAUCCCAGCAUGCCAAAUAACCGUUGCAGAGCAGAGCAGAGAAUCCAAAGCCUGAACAAAUUUGGUAAAAAUGAGAUGUUUCACACUGAAUAUAAAGCUUUCCUCAAAGAAAUGAUUGACAACGGCUAUGCUGAAAUGAUACCAGUAGAUCAACUGACUCGCAAUGAUGGGGAACUCUGGUACAUCCCACAUCACGGGGUGUAUCACUCAAGGAAAGGAACCUUAAGAGUGGUCUUCGACUGCCGUGCUGGCUUCAAGGGAACAUCGCUCAAUGAACAACUGCUACAGGGUCCAGAUCUUACCAACUCGCUCAUCAAACAGGUGUGGUUAAUUGAAGAAGAGCAGCAAACUGUUUUUAACUGUGCUCGGAUUAUGUUGUUUAUUCUACUUUUAUAUUACGUAUUAUUUAUUGUAAGUGGACGCAGGUAAUAAACGCCAAACUGCAAACUUUA